UUCCUGUUCACAUUUCCCUACGCACACAUUUUAAACAGCAACAAGUCUUCAUUGAUGGGAAGCCAUGGUGCAGUUCAUCCAUCUAUUGCUGCUGCUGAGUUUGUGUCAUGUUGCAGCAGCAUAUAUUCAUGAAAGAACAGUAUGGCUACCGGAGGGAAGUAAUGCCACUUUCCCAUUUCCACCUAAUCGGCCCUAUACAUACUGUGGCACAAGUAGCAAGUGUAAAUGUGAGAAUGGCAAGUGUCAGUCCAAUAAUUCCAGCUCAUCCAGAGUCACAGUGACUGACAAAAACCUGACCAUUAACAACUUUGCACAAGCAGACAGUGGGACUAUCCUCUGCAAUGAUGGCAGCGUUAACGAAUGUGUGUAUCUAACGCUAUCAUUAGGUUUUUCGGACUCACAUCAUAUUUACUUUCUAAAAGAUGGACAUAAAAUGAGGAGAAAUGUGGGGAAUAAUUUUGCCUGCAAGAAUCUCUGUACCAGCGAGAAGACCUGCAAAUACUUCACGUAUAUUUCAGGAACUAAAAUAUGUUGGCUGAUGUCAUCACCACACAUGAAUAUAUCUCUUCAUUCAGACGCUGUCUCAGGGUACCCUUCCUGCCGCGAACCAAACAACAGCGACUUCACUUCAGCGUGUGAUUUUAGACAGCAUGGUCUUAAGUUCUACCAGGAAGCCAAAGAAUGGUUUCUUGCCAUGCAGCACUGCUACAAAAUGAACUCCGUCCUGGUUCAAAUCCUCGACAACGAAGUGCAGAAAGCUGUGAAUGAUUGUCUGCGUAACAAGGCAGUGAGUGGCGGAGUGUGGAUCGGCCUGGAGCGGUCCAUAGUUGGCAUUAACCCCCCGUGGAAAUGGAUCUCAGGGCAAAACGUUACAGAAAGUCAUUGGAACAACAGCGCUUUUGUGGACCCAUUAAACUACCACUGUGGGAAGAUCAUCAAGGUUGAAGGGUCACAAGACCUGAAGUGGUUGGACGCAAGCUGCCAUGAAAAGCUGCCUUUUAUCUGCCAGGGUAAGCUGUUGUUCUGUGUAACGCCUAGUAUGCUGUAAGAUUGUUAUCAAAGUUUAUCUUUAUUUUGUUUUCAUUUGCAGGUAAGAAUUAAAGCCCUCAUAUAACAUGUGACCUCUUGAGACCAAGUAGAUCCGACAGAGAGACUGCAUGGGUUUCUGGAAACUACAAGUCAUGCCACCAUUCAUUCUUUGUAUUAAUUUUUAUUGAAUAUUGGUGUUUUGGGCAACUGAUUUUUGCUUUUACUUUUCAUUGUACUUGUAUUCACUUCUUGAUAACUGAGUGAUUUGCUUUCUGUGGAAAAUAUUUACUAAUUUUUACUCAACUAGAUGUGUCUCUAAUCAGUGCGUUAUCAAAGCAGUAAACAAAUAAUCAUUGUUAAUCAUUUAUUUUGUGUUACCCUAGAUGUGAGUUAAAAAUGAAUGUGUAUGACCUCUUAAUCUGUGUUAAAGUUGAUGUGUGUGCACUCAUUUUGAACAGCAUGAAAGUGAAUAUAAUAAUGAGAUGACUCUGAUGACGGGUGGAUCACAUUGUCUUUAUUGUAAAAGUAACUGGUGAGGCUGAAGAUCUGAUGUUACUGACCUGAAGGAUUUUUUUUGUCAAAUCUCACAUUUCUGUCUCUGGAAAACCAAUAUUGUAAUUCAUUUAUUGCAGGUUGUUGUUCAUUAUCAUUCAUCGAAUAAAAAAAUAUCAUUUCACCUAUUUCUCUUCUGAUUUUGGUUUUAUAUGUUUUAUAAUAGUGGUGUCAAACACUUAACCACAGAAUAAAAAUGAAACACAUUACUCUAUAAAACAUAAGAAUGACUGUGGAUAUUACUAAAACCAAUACAAACACUGUUAUUAGAAAUGCAGGAUUACAGCGUAAAAUAAGCAAGAAAUAAAUUGAGAAAAUGGAGGAACGGGUCCAUUGGGAGGUUGCGUUGAAGAAAUAGUGUGUUUAGUGGCACCUAGCAGCGAGGAGUGCAGACUGUGAGCUAUUUUGCUUCCAUAACAUAUUCUUUCAGACUGAAAACAUCAAAAUACACAUUUAGGUUUAUUAUAGUUCAGGUUUCUGUUUUGAAUGUGUGCAAAUUAGUGUAUAUUAAAUCAUAUAAGGCUUAUUUGCAUACUUAAACAUUACACUUAACUUGUAAUAUAAAAAAAUAUCUUAAUGUAAAUUUGUCAACAGGGAGGUUUAAUAGUGAUAUCUGUUAGUUAAAAUUUAACCAUAUUGACUUAUAUUUU